ACUACGGGAGGCAGCAGUGGGGGAUAUUGCACAAUGGGGGCAACCCUGAUGCAGCGACGCCGCGUGAGCGAUGGAGUACUUCGGUAUGUAAAGCUCUGUCAGCAGGGAAGAGAAUGACGGUACCUGACCAAGAAGCCCCGGCUAAAUACGUGCCAGCAGCCGCGGUAAUACGUAUGGGGCAAGCGUUAUCCGGAUUUACUGGGCGUAAAGGGAGCGUAGGCGGCAGGGCAAGCCUGAUGUGAAAGCCCGGGGCUCAACCCCGGGACUGCAUUGGGAACUGAGCCGCUCGAGUGCCGGAGGGGGAGGCGGAAUUGCUAGUGUAGCGGUGAAAUGCGUAGAUAUUAGGAGGAACACCAGUGGCGAAGGCGGCCUGCUGGACGGUGUACUGACGCUGAGGCUCGAAAGCGUGGGGAGCAAACAGGAUUAGAUACCCCAGUAGUC
rnacentral:rRNA from 1 species